AUUGAACGCUGGCGGCAUGCUUUACACAUGCAAGUCGAACGGUAACAGGUUAAGCUGACGAGUGGCGAACGGGUGAGUAAUGCAUCGGAACGUGCCCGAUCGUGGGGGAUAACACUUCGAAAGAAGUGCUAAUACCGCAUACGAUCUGAGGAUGAAAGCGGGGGACCGUAAGGCCUCGCGCGAUCGGAGCGGCCGAUGUCAGAUUAGGUAGUUGGUGGGGUAAAGGCUCACCAAGCCGACGAUCUGUAGCUGGUCUGAGAGGACGACCAGCCACACUGGGACUGGGGCACGGACCAGACUCCUACGGGAGGCAGCAGUGGGGAAUUUUGGACAAUGGGCGCAAGCCUGAUCCAGCAAUGCCGCGUGCAGGAAGAAGGCCUUCGGGUUGUAAACUGCUUUUGUACGGAGCGAAAAGGCUCCCUCUAAUACAGGGGGCUCAUGACGGUACCGUAAGAAUAAGCACCGGCUAACUACGUGCCAGCAGCCGCGGUAAUAC
rnacentral:rRNA from 1 species